UCCGGUUUGGCACCGGCAGUCUCCCUAGAGUUCCCGGCAUGAUCCGCUGGCAACUAAGGACAGGGGUUGCGCUCGUUGCGCCGCUUAACCCAACACCUCACGGCACGAGCUGACGACAGCCAUGCAGCACCUGCACGCGCUCCCCUUUCGAGGUCAUUACCGUUUCCGGUUCUUACCACGCGCAUGUCAAGCCUGGGUAAGGUUUUUCGCGUUGCGUCGAAUUGAACCACAUGCACCACCGCUUGUGCGGGCCCCCGUCAAUUCCUUUGAGUUUCAGCCUUGCGGCCGUACUCCCCAGGCGGGGCACUUAGAGCGUUAGCUACGGCACCGGGAGGGUCGCUCCCCCCGACGCCUAGUGCCCAUCGUUUACGGCGUGGACUAC
rnacentral:misc_RNA from 1 species